rnacentral:misc_RNA from 1 species
GAUGAAGAACGUAGCAAAAUGCGAUAAGUAAUGUGAAUUGCAGAAUUCAGUGAAUCAUCGAAUCUUUGAACGCACAUUGCGCCCGCCAGUAUUCUGGCGGGCAUGCCUGUUCGAGCGUCAUUUCAACCCUCAAGCACAGCUUGGUGUUGGGACUCGCGUUAAUUCGCGUUCCCCAAAUUGAUUGGCGGUCACGUCGAGCUUCCAUAGCGUAGUAGUAAAACCCUCGUUACUGGUAAUCGUCGCGGCCACGCCGUUAAACCCCAACUUCUGAAUGUUGACCUCGGAUCAGGUAGGAUUACCCGCUGAACUUAAGCAUAUCAAUAAGCGGAGGAA